GUUAUAUUUCAGAUUCCUGUUAGGCAAAUGAGAUUCAUAAAACUUGCUUUAAAACCAUACUGGGACUACUCAGUGAUAAAUAUAGACAUAGAAAAGCUUUGACGGAAAGUACCCUCAUUUAUUAUAUCCAGAACUUGCUCUUCCUGUGCCAUCUAAAUCAUUGGUAUCUAUCUCCCAUCUAAUCUUUGGUAUUCCAGGUUGGCUGUGCAGGAUUUACUUCCUAAUGUCCAUGACUGGAGCUCAAAAGAACUGUGGGCCUAGGACCUUUGAGCUUUGCCUGAAAGUGACAGCAGUUCUCUCGGCGGGGCCAGCAUCUAACCGGCCCUCUGGUGGAUUUACCAUGAAGGAAACCCGCAAACACAGCAGAGUGAGCAGAGGGAAAAAGACUCCUAGGAAGCCAGCUGGCCUCCUGCUGGACCUACACAGCCGGUUCAAGGUCAACUGAGCAGGGAACGCCAGGAUGUGGCAGUGGUCACAGUGAAGAGGAUGCAUCCCCUCCCACCGAGUUCCCACGACGGGUCCCUCACUGGACUGGACAUUCUUCAUUUCAGCAACGUCCUCAGUGACGAUGCUUAUCAUCACCCCAAAGCUCAAGAAAGUGGGUUCCCAUCCACAGAUGGAGGACUGGGCUCCUCUGCUCCCUUCUAGCGCUUCCCUCCUGCCCUGAACUGGAGGGAAACAGGUCCAUGUGUGCAUUCCACCUUUGACAGCCACCACAAUACAUCUACCAGGAUGGAUCAGCACCCCCACCUGGGGCCUCAAGCCUCAGUCCCAGGCUGGGCUGCUCAUCUGCCUUCCCCUCACUGCAGUCUCCAUCCCAGCCCCUCCUCCACGGGCCCUGGCUGGGAUGUAACUGCAGGAAAUCAAAACUUCCCCGGACUACAACUUCCUGUUUGGAGGGGACAGAAAUCAAGGAAACCACCACCCCUUUGGAGCUGGACAUGGGGGAUCUCAGGUAUCAGACCACUGAGCAACCCACCGCCAGGCUGCAGGCCUUCGGAGGCCCACCUGGGCCCGGCGUGGCCUGCCCCAGGGCGGGCUCCCAGCGCAACUGCAGGCAUCCUCUAGUGGGGCCUCUGGUAACCCUAGCAGAUGGUGGUGACCCCCCUGAGAUGAGGAAGCUGGUGACCUGAGACUGAGCAGCAGCCUAUGGGCUCCAGGUCAAGUGCUAUUCCCAGCGGACGCCCUUCCCCUGCGCCAGUCCCUCCUUCCUGAGUGUCCAGCCCCCAAUGCAAACAGCAACCCCAGGCUCUGAAACUACUUUUUUUCUUAGAAAAAACAAAACAAAACAUAAAACUUGUUUCUGAUUA